UACGGGGGGGGCAAGCGUUGUUCGGAAUUACUGGGCGUAAAGCGCGUGUAGGCGGCAAGGCAGGUCGGAUGUGAAAGCCCGCGGCUCAACCGUGGAAGUGCACUCGAAACCGCCUAGCUGGAGUCUCGGAGAGGAAGGUGGAAUGCUUGGUGUAGAGGUGAAAUUCGUAGAUAUCAAGCAGAACACCUGUGGCGAAGGCGGCCUUCUGGACGAUGACUGACGCUGAGACGCGAAAGCGUGGGGAGCAAACAGG
rnacentral:rRNA from 1 species